rnacentral:rRNA from 1 species
GACGACGCUGGCGGCGUGCCUGACACAUGCAAGUCGGACGGUUCUUGCACCUUCAAGCUUGCUUGCUGGUGCAAGGAUAGUGGCGGACGGUGAGUAACGCGUGAACAUCUACCCAUUGGAGGGGGACAACCCGUCGAAAGGCGGGCUAAUACCGCGUAAGCCGCGAGGUGAGAGGCUGCCUAUUGGUGGCCGCCGAUGGAUGGGUUCGCGUCCUAUCAGCUGGUUGGUGGGGUAACGGCCUACCAAGGCGAAGACGGGUAGCCGGUCUGAGAGGAUGGCCGGCCACACUGGAACUGAGACACGGUCCAGACUCCUACGGGAGGCAGCAGUGGGGAAUAUUGGGCAAUGGGGGUAACCCUGACCCAGCGACGCCGCGUGAGGGACGAAGGUUUUCGGAUCGUAAACCUCUGUUGUACGGGAAGAAGGAAUUGACGGUACCGUACGAGAAAGCCCCGGCAAACUACGUG